rnacentral:tRNA from 1 species
UCCUGGGUGGCUCAGUUGGUUGAGCGUCUGACUUCAGCUCAGGUCAUGAUAUCAAGGUUUGUGAGUUCGAGCCCCACAUCAGGCU